GUAUUAGUUAUGUUCUUUAAACUCAAAGGAUUUGGCGGUAUUUUAUUCCUUUCAGAGGAGCCUGUUCUGUGAUCGACAAUCCACGAUGGUUUUUACUUGGUCUUGUUUCCAGUUUGUAUACCUCCGUCAUAAGGGAGUUUUUAAAGAAUUAAUUUCCUACUACAUUUAAUUUGUUUAUGUCAGGUCAAGGUGCAGCUUAUGGCCAAGUUGAGAUGGGCUACAAUAAUUUUAUUUAUACGGAAUUGAACUUUGAAUGGUUCAUUGAAGGUGGAUUUGAGAGUAAAUUGGUUUACUUAAACUGUUUGAAUUUUGGCUCUAGAAUAUGCACACAUCGCCCG
rnacentral:rRNA from 1 species